rnacentral:rRNA from 1 species
UACGUAGGCAGCGAGCGUUGUUCGGAAUUACUGGGCGUAAAGAGUGUGUAGGCGGUGCUCUAAGUUCGGUGUGAAAUCUCCUGGCUCAACUGGGAGGGUGCGCCGGAAACUGGAGUGCUUGAGCGUGGGAGAGGAAAGCGGAAUUCCCGGUGUAGCGGUGAAAUGCGCAGAUAUCGGGAAGAACACCCGUGGCGAAGGCGGCUCUCUGGAACGCAACUGACGCGUGAGACGCGAAAGCGUGGGGAGCAACAGG